AUACACACAUGCUCACUCACACAAGAGCUCUGCCUCUCUGACACAGACUCUACUUAGUGGCUAAGGGGGGGUGGGUGGAAGAAGACCAAGGCGCGGAGCUUCUCCAAUGUGGAGGACGCCGACACAGCAGCCUGACAAGGAGUGUGACGGCGGGAGACGUCUAAAAAAAAAAAGCCCACCCCUGUCGCCACGGCAUAGGAGUUUCUACGGACGCAGAGAAAAGGCAAGGACUGAGGAGAGAGGAACAGAGGUCUCUUAGUCCCCUAACCGGUGGGUGACACAGACGUGAGGGUUUGUGCUGUCAAGGAAUUCAAAGGGAAGUGAGGAGCCAAGUCCAAAGGAGGGACUAUUUUUUUUUUUCUUCCAGAAUCCUAUUUUAAUCUGGAAUUUCAGGCAGGCUUUUUUUGGGUUAUUUUUUUUUUACAGCAUGGAUGAAUUUAAAGAGGAGGAGUAAGUCAUCCAAACCCUGCCUCGCUCCUCCUGAAAGUCAUUGCUAAGACCCGCACACCGUCGUGAGCUGCAGACCCCCGGCCUUAGAAUGUCCUGCUUGUUGGCCAUGUGGGUCAGCCUCAGCUUCCUGCUGCUGCUGUGCCAGGCCUCACUCUACCAGACCAUCCAGCAGCACCACGUGGCCCGCCCCGAUGGCACCGACAUCCUCACCCUGGAGGGAGGUACGUGUGAGGUGAUUGCGGCCCACAGAUGCUGUAACAAGAAUCGCAUCGAGGAACGCUCUCAGACCGUCAAGUGCUCCUGUUUACCAGGCAAAGUGGCCGGAACAACACGCAACAAACCUUCUUGUGUGGACGCAUCCAUCGUAAUUGGGAAAUGGUGGUGUGAGAUGGAGCCGUGUCUGGAGGGAGAAGAGUGCAAGACUCUGCCUGACAAUUCCGGAUGGAUGUGCUCGUCUGGAAAUAAAGUCAAGACCACGAGGAACACCCAGCCAUACUCCCCUUUUUAGCUUCCGGAAGCAAAAUGCAGAGGAAACGUCAACCGAAAUUGAGCUGCAUUCUUGCUUCUGUAAAAGAUUAAUCCGAGGACCUAACAGCGAGCUCUCAUCACAGGACCAGCCUCGUGCCAGACCCUUCCUCUCAUCUACCCUUUCUCUUCUCGACAAACGGCGUGAAAACUGUCACAUCCACGGCUGCCGACUGGAUUACCUGGGACCACAGAAAGGAUAUCCACCUCGAUAAAAACAGCUUUGCCCGUGUGGCGCCAAGGAUUUAAAAACCCGCCGCUAAUCCCCCUGUUUGAUCAAGGAUGUGGGAUGUCGGUGAAGCUCCUCUACCACGCAGCUGUGGCCAGUUUCCGUCCGAAUCCCUCGCGCUCUGCCCCUCACUCGGCGUGUUCCUCUAAAACUGACGCAGGGUCUCAUUUUGAGGUUCGUUGGACGUUGGAACAAAGAGCUAAAAAGGCGAGACAUUGCCCCUUAUAUCCUUGUAUUCCUGUACGGAUCGCUGCCUUUGUGUUACAAGAUGGCUUUGCAAGGACUACGUAGGUGUGAGAACAAAAUAGGCACCCUUGUGUGUGUGUUUGUGUGUGUGAGGCUCGAAGGUCUGCUCUUACGGCCUCACCUUCGUGGUCAAUAAUGAACAUUGGAUUUGACUUCUUGACUUCAAAGACAUGUACAAUGAGCAGUGCUACUUUUCUUUCUAUGUAAGAACACCCGCGUGUAUAUAAUUCUAUAAAUAAAAGACAUAAUAUGACGGCAGAUCCGCAAAGCAUAUUUAAGACUCUACUUACCAGGAGCUUAAACCCACGGUGGAAUAUUGUUUUUGUUUAGUUUUUGCCCCGUCCGUCCGAGUAAAAGUGCGAUUCGUACUUGUGCAGAGCCCUACUUUGACGUGUUAAAAGGACUGCUUUACUUGACAACUGUAAUCAUAGGUAUCUGUCACUUUGGUCGUUCAUGAAGUAUUGCUGGUAGAGCCACACGGUGCUUGUAAAAAAAAAAAUGAGGAAAAACAUUGUAUAGGACUGCCUCGCAAGCCUGCAAUGCUACCCAGACGGACCACCGUUGCUUAACAACCGUACGCACCCCGGGGGACCGUUCGUUGCUUUUCUACACUGCCGUAUAACCGCAAUUUCCCUGACUUUGUGGGUCACGCCGGUUUUAAUUUUAGUCGUUCUGAUUCGUUGCAUUUUGGAAUUAAUUUGCGAGAGGAGCGACUGUGUGAAAUAAAUGACCUGCCUUUGUUAGACGAACAGGUGUGUUAGGUUGCAUUAUUUUGAGUAUGGUCCUGAUCUACAACCGCUAAACAGCGUGUGCCAACAAUGAAAUUUGUGGUGAUCUACUAAGACUGUGUGUGCAAUUGGUAACAAGAGCAAAAGUGGCACAGACUGCCCUCUUCAAACAAGGAUUUUGCAGAUACUAUGCCGGCUGUCACCAUGGAAAUGACAUUGUAUGCUCCAACUGUCCAGCCUGUGCGGUUUCAUUAUGAUGUGGAACAUGCAGCACACACCACAUUUUUCUCAAUCAAUCAAAAUUGAUCUACAAAACCCAAAACCAGUGAAGUUUGCACAUUGCAUAAAUCGUAAAUAAAAACAGAAUACAAUGAUUUGCUAAUCCUUUUCAACCUAUAUUCAAUGGAAUAGACUUCAAAGACAAGAUAUAUAACAUUCGAACUGGAAAACUUUUGUUAUUUUUUGCAAAUAUUACCUUCCUUUGGCGUUUUAAUCCCUGCAAAGUGUUUCAAAAACCUGGCACAAGUGGCAAAAAAGACAGACACCGUUGAAGAAUGCUCAUCAAACACUUAUUUGGAACAGCCCACAGGUGAACAGGGAAAUUGGGAAUAGGUGGGUGCCAUUAUCUUCCAUGAAAUAGUCAGUCAUUCACAAACAUGGAUGGGGCGAAGUUCACCACUUUGUGAACAAAUGCGUGAGCAAAUUUUCCGACAGUUUAAGAACAACAUUUAUCAACGAGCUAUCGCAAGGAAUUUAGGGAUUUCUCCAUCUACGGUCCGUUAUAUCAUCAAAAGGUUUAGAGAAUCUGGAGAAAUCACUGCACGUAAGCGGCUAAACCCAUGACCUUCGAUCCCUCAGGGGGCACUGCAUCAACAACCGACAUCAGUGUGUAAAGGAUGUCACCACAUGAGCUCAGGAACACUUCAGAAAACUAGUGUCAAUAACUUUUGGACGCUACAAUGGGAAAUGAAAGUUAGAACUCAACAAUGUAAAGCCAAAGCCAUUUAUCAACAACACCCACAAACGCCGCCGGUCGAACUGGAAAACUUUUGUUAUUUUUUGCAAAUAUUAGCUUCCUUUGGCGUUUUAAUGCCUGCAAAGUGUUUCAAAAAAACUGGCACAAGUGGCAAAAAAGACUGAGAACUUUGAAGAAUGCUCAUCAAACACUUAUUUGGAACAUCCCACAGGUGAACAGGGAAAUUGGGAAUAGGUAGGUGCCAUUAUCUUCCAUGAAAUGGUCAGUCAUUCACAAACAAGGAUGGGGCGAAGUUCACCACUUUGUGAACAAAUGCGUGAGCAAAUUGUCCAACAGUUUAAGAACAACAUUUAUCAACGAGCUAUUGCCAUCUACGGUCCGUUAUAUCAUCAAAAGGUUUAGAGAAUCUGGAGAAAUCACUGCACGUAAGCGGCUAAACCCAUGACCUUCGAUCCCUCAGGCGGUACUGCAUCAACAACCGACAUCAGUGUGUAAAGGAUGUCACCACAUGGGUUCAGGAACACUUCAGAAAACUAGUGUCAGUAACAUUUGGUUGCUACAAUGGUAAGUGCAAGUUAAAACUCAACAAUGCAAAGCCAAAGCCAUUUAUCAACAACACCCAAAAACGACGCCGGUCGAACUGGAAAACUUUUGUUAUUUUUUGCAAAUAUUAGCUUCCUUUGGUGUUUUAAUCCCUGCAAUGUGUUUAAAAAAAGCUGGCACAAGUGGCAAAAAAGACAGAACUUUGAAGAAUGCUCAUCAAACACUUAUUUGGAACAUCCCACAGGUGAACAGGGAAAUUGGGAAUAGGUGGGUGCCAUUAUCUUCCAUGAAAUGGUCACUCAUUCACAAACAUGGAUGGGGCAAAGUUCACCACUUUGUGAACAAAUGCGUGAGCAAAUUGUCCAACAGUUUAAGAACAACAUUUCUCAACGAGCUAUUGCAAGGAAUUUAGGGAUUUCACCAUCUACAGUCCGUUAUAUCUUCAAAAGGCUCAGAGAAUCUGGAGAAAUCACUGCACGUAAGCGGCUAAGUCCAUGACCUUCGAUCCCUCAGACGAUACUGCAUCAACAACCGACAUCAGUGUGUAAAGGAUGUCACCACAUGGGUUCCGGAACAAUUCAGAAAACUAGUGUCAGUAAAAUGUGGUCGCUACAACUGUAAGUGCAAGUUAAAACUCAACAAUGCAAAGCCAAAGCCAUUUAUCAACAACACCCAGAAACGCCGCCGGUUUUGCUGGCCCGGAGCUCAUUUAAGAUGGACUGAAGUAAAGUGUAAGAGUGUUGUGUGGUCUGACGAGUCCACAUUUCAAAUUGUUUUUGGAAACUGGGGAAGUUGUGUCCUCCGGAACAAAGAAGAAAAGAACCACCCGGAUUUUUAUAACCGCAAAGUUCAAAAGCCAGCACCUGUAAUGGUAUAGGGGUGUAUUCAUGCCCAAGGCAUGGGUAUAUUACACAUCUGUGAAGAUGUGAAGGCACCGUUAAGGCUGAAAAGUACAUACAGGUUUUGAAGCAACAUAAGUUGCCAUCCAAAAAACGUUAUCAUGGACGCCCCUGCUUAUUUCAGCAAGACAAUGCCAAGCCACAUGUUACAACAUUGUGGCUUCAUAGUAAAAGAGGGUGGGUACUAGACUGGCCUACCCGUAGUCCAGACUUGUCUUCCAUCGAAAAUGUGUGGCGCAUUAUGAAGCGUAAAAUACGACAGUGGAGACCUCGGACUGUUGAACGACUAAAGCUCUACAUAAAACAAGAAUGGGAAUGAAUUCCACUUUCAAAGCUUCAACAAUUAUUUUCUUCAGUUCCCAAACAUUUGUUGAGUGUUUUUAAAAGAAAAGGUCCUAUAUUACAGUGGUGAACGUGCCCUUUCCGGACUACUUUGACACGGGUUGCAGCCAUGAAAUUCUAAGUUAAUUAUUAUUUGCAAAAACAAAAAUAAAGUUUAGGAGUUUGAACAUCAAAUAUCUUGUCUUUGUAGUACAUUCAAUUGAAUAUGGGUUGAAAAGGAUUUGCAAAUCUUUGUAUUCCGUUUAUAUGUACAUCCAACACAAUUUCCCAACUCAUAUGGAAACGGGGUUUGUAAUUCCAUCUAAAAAACUUAAAAAAUUGGUCUCCUCAGUUCUCAUACGUUUGCUGAGUGUUGUUUAAAGGAAAGACAAAGUAACGCAGUGGUAAAAAUGCACCUGAGCCAGCUUUUUUUGCAACGUGUUUCUGCCAUUAAAUCCUAAGUUAAUGAUUAUUUGCAAAAUAAAAAAAGUUUCGCAGUUGAAACAUUGAAUA